GGAAUAUUGGUCAAUGGACGGAAGUCUGAACCAGCCAAGUAGCGUGCAGGAUGACGGCCCUAUGGGUUGUAAACUGCUUUUGUACGGGAAUAAAGUGAGGGACGUGUCCCUUUUUGUAUGUACCGUAAGAAUAAGGACCGGCUAAUUCCGUGCCAGCAGCCGCGGUAAUACGGAAGGUCCGGGCGUUAUCCGGAUUUAUUGGGUUUAAAGGGAGCGCAGGCGUAGGCUUAAGCGUGACGUGACAUGUCCCGGCUCAACCGUGGAACUGCGUCGCGAACUGGUUUUCUUGAGUGAGUACGACGUCAGCGGAAUUUGUGGUGUAGCGGUGAAAUGCUUAGAUAUCACGAAGAACCCCGAUUGCGAAGGCAGCUGACGAGUCCUUAACUGACGCUAAAGCUCGAAAGUGCGGGUAUCGAACA
rnacentral:rRNA from 1 species